rnacentral:rRNA from 1 species
AGAGUGAACGCUGGCGGCAGGCCUAACACAUGCAAGUCGAGCGGCAGCGCGGGGGCAACCCUGGCGGCGAGCGGCGGACGGGUGAGGAAUACAUCGGAAUCUGCCUUGUUGUGGGGGAUAACGUAGGGAAACUUACGCUAAUACCGCAUAAGACCUGAGGGUGAAAGCGGGGGACCGCAAGGCCUCGCGCGACAAGAUGAGCCGAUGUCCGAUUAGCUAGUUGGUGAGGUAAAGGCUCACCAAGGCGACGAUCGGUAGCUGGUCUGAGAGGAUGAUCAGCCACACUGGAACUGAGACACGGUCCAGACUCCUACGGGAGGCAGCAGUGGGGAAUAUUGGACAAUGGGGGCAACCCUGAUCCAGCCAUGCCGCGUGUGUGAAGAAGGCC